UACGGAGGGUGCAAGCGUUAUCCGGAUUUACUGGGUUUAAAGGGUGCGUAGGUGGGUCUGUAAGUCAGUGGUGAAAUCUCCGAGCUUAACUCGGAAACUGCCAUUGAUACUAUAGGUCUUGAAUUAUCUGGAGGUAAGCGGAAUAUGUCAUGUAGCGGUGAAAUGCUUAGAUAUCAGGAGGAACACCGGUGGCGAAGGCGGCUCUCUGGACCACAACUGACGCUGAGGCGCGAAAGCGUGGGGAGCGAACAGG
rnacentral:rRNA from 1 species